rnacentral:rRNA from 1 species
GCAGACGGGUGAGUAACGCGUGGGAACAUACCCUUUCCUGCGGAAUAGCUCCGGGAAACUGGAAUUAAUACCGCAUACGCCCUACGGGGGAAAGAUUUAUCGGGGAAGGAUUGGCCCGCGUUGGAUUAGCUAGUUGGUGGGGUAAAGGCCUACCAAGGCGACGAUCCAUAGCUGGUCUGAGAGGAUGAUCAGCCACAUUGGGACUGAGACACGGCCCAAACUCCUACGGGAGGCAGCAGUGGGGAAUAUUGGACAAUGGGCGCAAGCCUGAUCCAGCCAUGCCGCGUGAGUGAUGAAGGCCUUAGGGUUGUAAAGCUCUUUCACCGGAGAAGAUAAUGACGGUAUCCGGAGAAGAAGCCCCGGCUAACUUCGUGCCAGCAGCCGCGGUAAUACGAAGGGGGCUAGCGUUGUUCGGAAUUACUGGGCGUAAAGCGCACGUAGGCGGAUAUUUAAGUCAGGGGUGAAAUCCCAGAGCUCAACUCUGGAACUGCCUUUGAUACUGGGUAUCUUGAGUAUGGAAGAGGUAAGUGGAAUUCCGAGUGUAGAGGUGAAAUUCGUAGAUAUUCGGAGGAACACCAGUGGCGAAGGCGGCUUACUGGUCCAUUACUGACGCUGAGGU